UACGUAGGGGGCAAGCGUUGUCCGGAAUUAUUGGGCGUAAAGAGCGUGUAGGCGGUCCGGUAAGUCAGCUGUGAAAGUCAAGGGCUCAACCCUUGAAAGCCGGUUGAUACUGUCGGGCUAGAGUCCGGAAGAGGCGAGUGGAAUUCCCGGUGUAGCGGUGAAAUGCGCAGAUAUCAAGGAGGAACACCAGCGGCGAAGGCGGCGCUCUGGGCUGGAACUGACGCUGAGGAGCGAAAGCGUGGGGAGCGAACAGG
rnacentral:rRNA from 1 species